UGCAGUCGAGCGGACAGAUGGGAGCUUGCUCCCUGAUGUUAGCGGCGGACGGGUGAGUAACACGUGGGUAACCUGCCUGUAAGACUGGGAUAACUCCGGGAAACCGGGGCUAAUACCGGAUGCUUGUUUGAACCGCAGGUUCAAACAUAAAAGGUGGCUUCGGCUACCACUUACAGAUGGACCCGCGGCGCAUAGCUAGUUGGUGAGGUAACGGCUCACCAAGGCAACGAUGCGUAGCCGACCUGAGAGGGUGAUCGGCCACACUGGGACUGAGACACGGCCCAGACUCCUACGGGAGGCAGCAGUAGGGAAUCUUCCGCAAUGGACGAAAGUCUGACGGAGCAACGCCGCGUGAGUGAUGAAGGUUUUCGGAUCGUAAAGCUCUGUUGUUAGGGAAGAACAAGUACCGUUCAAAUAGGGCGGUACCUUGACGGUACCUAACCAGAAAGCCACGGCUAACUACGUGCCAGCAGCCGCGGUAAUACGUAGGUGGCAAGCGUUGUCCGGAAUUAUUGGGCGUAAAGGGCUCGCAGGCGGUUCCUUAAGUCUGAUGUGAAAGCCCCCGGCUCAACCGGGGAGGGUCAUUGGAAACUGGGGAACUUGAGUGCAGA
rnacentral:rRNA from 1 species